rnacentral:misc_RNA from 1 species
GCCAGGAGUACAAGAACAUAUCACUAUGAAGGUCGGUCGGUAAAGGAUAUAGGGCCUACUGAACUCCUUCCUGAUGGCAUCAUUCCAUCUGAUGACAUUGAUAUGACGGAAAUUUGUGUUCAUCCAAGACAUAGGAAACAAAUGAAAUCUCACCAAGUUGAGGGAUUUAAUUUUCUUGUUAGCAACUUGUUGAGAGAUAAAGGAGGC